rnacentral:tRNA from 1 species
AAACUUAGGCUAGUGUA